rnacentral:lncRNA from 1 species
UUUGUAUAUUUAAAUACGAUAAAAAUUAAUUUGUUAAGUUUUAAUAUAUUUUUUUAGUCUAGUUUGUACAUUUAAAAUAUAAUAAAAUUUGAUUGAUUAAGUAUUAAUAUUUAAUUUUACUUUAUAAUAUUAUUAUUAUAUUAUUAUAAUUUACAUAAAAAUCAUUUAGUUAUUUUUUUAUUAAAAUUUUUAAUUAUAUAAAAAUAUAAUUAUAUUGUUUUUAUUUAUUACAUUAUAAUUUAUUAUUUAUCAAGUUAUUUAUUAUUUAAUAUUUAUACAUAAAUUAUAAUUUUACAUCAUUCACUUCUUUUCAAAUAAACAGUAAAAUUAAAGAAUUUUUAUUUUCAUAAAUAUAAAAAUAAAUAGUAGGGAAGAAAUAAAUUUUACUUAAUUCCACUUCAACCGAAAAUUCAGUUUCAGCGAAACAAAAGUCUCCCUAACCA